rnacentral:rRNA from 1 species
CAGCUCUUCAAGUGGUCGGGACUAUUAUUGGGCUUAAAGUGUCCGUAGCCGGUAUAGUAAGUUCCUGGUUAAAUCGGAUAGCUUAACUAUCUGUUGGCUAGGAAUACUGCUAUACUAGGGGGCGGGAGAGGUCUGAGGUACUCCAGGGGUAGGGGUGAAAUCCUAUAAUCCUUGGGGGACCACCAGUGGCGAAGGCGUCAGACUGGAACGCGCUCGACGGUGAGGGACGAAAGCCAGGGGAGCGAACCGGAUUAGAUACCCGGGUAGUCC